AUGGAUUCAGGUGUGCCCCCGCAGCUUACUGGCAGACAAGGGUCAUUACAGGAGAUGGACCUUGGCAGGUUGGAUCCAAACCACAGGUGGUGAGGGACAAAUGUGUCAUGCAGACAGAAUCCCAAGGGCUUAGAUCCAUUUAAAUUUUCUGGAAAAUUUGUAAUCCUCAACACAUCAUUUCUUUACUUCUUCAAACAUCCUCUCUAAAUUAUUUAUAUUUGAAUCAGCCAAUGUCAUCCAUGUAAUGCUAAAGUAUAGAUUGAGGAAACUGCUUGAAUAUUGUUUCCUAUGGCUACUGUACAAAAUAUUAGCAAAGAGUGGGGCUAUUUAAAAUUCCCUGUGGGAGAAUCUUCCAUUGAUAUCUCUCAACAGGCUGGGAAUCCUUAAGUAGGAACUGUGAAGGCAAAUUUUUCUCUGUCUUUUUCUUGUAAAGGUUUACUGAAGAAACACUCCUCUAAAUCAAUGGCUAUAAGAGGUCAUCCUUUAGGCAAUAGAGAAGGCAAAAGAAUUCCAGACUGAAGAGAGCCCAUUGGCUGAAUCAUUUUGUUAAUAGCUCUUAGCUCUGUUACCAUUCUCCAUUUCUCAGAUAUCUUUUUAGUAACAAAUACAGGAGAAUUCCAAUGGCUGGUUGAUUCUUCAAUAUACUGAGCAUCUACUGUAGAACUCUAAAAUAACUCUAAAGCCAUUUCUGACCAUUCUGAGGCCUCUCAGCAGUAGUGCUCCCCUCUGCCCUGGGAACCAGGAAUCUAACAAUUACCCAUACACGUACUGAAAUGUUGGGAACUUUCCAUUCCCGAGUCUUUGUGAAUGUUCUCCAGAAACUGGGGCAAGAUAACCUUUAAGAUGUUGACUCAGUUCCUUUUGAUUCAGUCCCUGGGAAAGGGGUCAAAGUGACCUUCAGAUGUUUCCUUUUACCUCAUCUGAUCUGGCAACUGCUCUCCAGCCAAUUAUUCAUAAUAGCCCUUUUAAAUAAGCCAGUUAUAACAGUCAAAGAACAACCCCCAGACACCCACCUUGCUUAUGUGGCUUUUUCCUUUAAAAGUAGACUGUACCAGC